GAUGAACGCUGGCGGCGUGCUUAACACAUGCAAGUCGAACGGAAAGGCCCAAGCUUGCUUGGGUACUCGAGUGGCGAACGGGUGAGUAACACGUGGGUGAUCUGCCCUGCACUUCGGGAUAAGCCUGGGAAACUGGGUCUAAUACCGGAUAGGACCACUUCUUGGAUGUUGUGGUGGAAAGUUUUUUCGGUGUGGGAUGAGCUCGCGGCCUAUCAGCUUGUUGGUGGGGUAAUGGCCUACCAAGGCGUCGACGGGUAGCCGGCCUGAGAGGGUGUACGGCCACAUUGGGACUGAGAUACGGCCCAGACUCCUACGGGGGGCAGCAGUGGGGAAUAUUGCACAAUGGGCGCAAGCCUGAUGCAGCGACGCCGCGGGGGGGAUGACGGCCUUCGGGUUGUAAACUCCUUUCGCUAGGGACGAAGCGUUUUGUGACGGUACCUGGAGAAGAAGCACCGGCUAACUACGUG
rnacentral:rRNA from 1 species